UUUUAAAUAAGUUCUGCUCAAUGACAUAGUUAAAUAGCUGCAGUAAAUUAACUGUACUAAGGUAGCAUAAUAAAUUGCUUUGUAAUUUAAAGCUUGAAUGAAGGAAAAUAUGUGAAACAAACUUUUUUAACUAAAACAGUAUAAAUUAAUAUUUAAGUGAAAAAUCUUAAAUUAAACCAAAAGACAAGAAGACCCUUUAGAACUUUACAAAUUAAAUCAACCAAAAUGAGAUAAUUUGUUAAAUUGGGGAGAUUAUUAAAUAAAUAAAUCUUUAAAUAUAACAAAAUGAUUUAAUCCAGAUUAUAUUAUCCAUACAUGAAAUAAAACAAGUUACCUAAGGGAUAACAGCGUAAAAUUUUUGAGAAGAUCUUAUUCACAAAAUAAAUUACGACCUCGAUGUUGGAUUAAGAA
rnacentral:rRNA from 1 species